rnacentral:rRNA from 1 species
AAGCGUGCGCAGGCGGUUAUGUAAGACAGAUGUGAAAUCCCCGGGCCUCAACCUGGGAACUGCAUUAGUGACUGCAUAGCUGGAGUACGGCAGAGGGGUAUGGAAUUCCGCGUGUAGCAGUGAAAUGCGUAGAUAUGCGGAGGAACACCGAUGGCGAAGGCAAUCCCCUGGGCCUGUACUGACGCUCAUGCACGAAAGCGUGGGGAGCAAACAGGAUUAGAUACCCUUGU